rnacentral:rRNA from 1 species
UACAGAGGUCUCGAGCGUUAGGCGGAAUCACUGGGCUUAAAGCGUGUGUAGGCGGAUCGGUAAGUACCUUGUGAAAAUCCCACAGCUUAACUGUGGAACUGCUUGGUAUACUGCCAAGUCUUGAGCCACUUAGGGGCUACCGGAACAAAUGGGUGGAGCGGUGAAAUGCGUAGAUAUCAUUUGGAACGCCAAUGGUGAAAACAGGUAGCUGGGAGUGUGCUGACGCUGAGACACGAAAGCCAGGGAGCAAACGGG